rnacentral:rRNA from 1 species
GACGAACGCUGGCGGCGUGCCUAAUACAUGCAAGUAGAACGCUGAAGGAGGAGCUUGCUUCUCCGGAUGAGUUGCGAACGGGUGAGUAACGCGUAGGUAACCUGCCUGGUAGCGGGGGAUAACUAUUGGAAACGAUAGCUAAUACCGCAUAAGAGUAGAUGUCGCAUGACAUUUGCUUAAAAGGUGCAACUGCACCACUACCAGAUGGACCUGCGUUGUAUUAGCUAGUUGGUGAGGUAACGGCUCACCAAGGCAACGAUACAUAGCCGACCUGAGAGGGUGAUCGGCCACACUGGGACUGAGACACGGCCCAGACGCCUACGGGAGGCAGCAGUAGGGAAUCUUCGGCAAUGGACGGAAGUCUGACCGAGCAACGCCGAGUGAGUGAAGAAGGUUGUCGGAUCGUAAAGCUCUGUUGUAAGAGAAGAACGAGUGUGAGAGUGGAAAGUUCACACUGUGACGGUAUCUUACCAGAAAGGGACGGCUAACUACGUG